rnacentral:rRNA from 1 species
UGGGGAAUAUUGGACAAUGGGCGAAAGCCUGAUCCAGCCAUGCCGCGUGAGUGAUGAAGGCCUUAGGGUUGUAAAGCUCUUUUAUCCGGGAAGAUGAUGACGGUACCGGAAGAAUAAGCUCCGGCUAACUUCGUGCCAGCAGCCGCGGUAAUACGAAGGGAGCUAGCGUUGUUCGGAAUUACUGGGCGUAAAGCGCGCGUAGGUGGCUUUGCAAGUCAGAGGUGAAAUCCCAGAGCUUAACUCUGGAAUUGCCUUUGAAACUGCGAAGCUUGAGUACUGGAGGGGAUGGUGGAAUUUCUAAUGUAGCGGUGAAAUGCGUAGAUAUUAGAAGGAACACCGGUGGCGAAGGCGACCAUCUGGACAGUAACUGACACUGAGGCGCGAAAGCGUGGGGAUCAAA